CAUGUCCUUUUGAUAAUAAUAUAAGGUCUGAUCUGCUCACUGAGAAUUAAAUAGCCGCAGUAUUUUGACUGUGCAAAGGUAGCAUAAUAAUUAGUUUCUUGAUUAGGAACUGGAAUGAAUGAUUGGACAAGAAAAUUACUGUCUCUUUUUUAAUAUUAUUGAAUUUUAUUUUUAAGUGAAAAAGCUUAAAUUUAUAUAAAAGACGAGAAGACCCUAUAGAGUUUAAUAUGAUUUUUAAAUUAAUAGUUAGUAUAAUUAUUUUAAAAAUUUUAUUUGGUUGGGGUGAUUGAAAGAUUAAUUAAAUUCUUUUAGUUAAUAAUUGUAGAUUUACAAUUUUUUUUAUCUAUAAUUUAUAAAAUUAAAAUAAAUUACCUUAGGGAUAACAGCGUAAUUCUUCUUUAAAGUUCUUAUUGUAAGAAGAGUUUGCGACCUCGAUGUUGGAUUAAAAUAAAUUUUUGGUGAAGUAACUAAAAAAUUAGGUCUGUUCGACCUUUAAAAUUUUACAUGAUCUGAGUUUAAACCGGUGUGAACCAGGUUGGAUUCUAUCUUUAAAAAAUUAUUAUAUUUUAGUACGAAAGGACCAAAUAUAAGUUAAAUUAAUUG
rnacentral:rRNA from 1 species